UACGUAGGCAGCGAGCGUUGUUCGGAUUUACUGGGCGUAAAGAGCGUGUAGGCGGCCAGGUAGGUCCGUUGUGAAAACUCGAGGCUCAACCUCGAGACGUCGAUGGAAACCAUCUGGCUAGAGUCCGGAAGAGGAGAGUGGAAUUCCUGGUGUAGCGGUGAAAUGCGCAGAUAUCAGGAAGAACACCUAUGGCGAAGGCAGCUCUCUGGGACGGUACUGACGCUGAGACGCGAAAGCGUGGGGAGCGAACAGG
rnacentral:rRNA from 1 species